AUCGAACGCUGGCGGAAUGCUUUACACAUGCAAGUCGAACGGCAGCACGGACUUCGGUCUGGUGGCGAGUGGCGAACGGGUGAGUAAUGUAUCGGAACGUGCCCAGUCGUGGGGGAUAACGUAGUGAAAAUUACGCUAAUACCGCAUACGAUCUAUGGAUGAAAGCGGGGGAUCGCAAGACCUCGCGCGAUUGGAGCGGCCGAUAUCAGAUUAGGUAGUUGGUGGGGUAAAGGCCCACAAAGCCAACGAUCUGUAGCUGGUCUGAGAGGACGAACGGCCACACUGGAACUGAGACACGGUCCAGACUCCUACGGGAGGCAGCAGUGGGGAAUUUUAGACAAUGGGCGAAAGCCUGAUCCAGCCAUUCCGCGUGCAGGAUGAAGGCCCUCGGGUUGUAAACUGCUUUUGUACAGAACGAAAAGGUUUCUACUAAUACUAGGAGCUCAUGACGGUACUGUAAGAAUAAGCACCGGCUAACUACGUGCCAGCCGCCGCCGUAA
rnacentral:rRNA from 1 species